UUGUUUGCCUCCAUAUUUAAUUUUCUAAAAAAUAUUUAAAAUAAGAAGAAUUUCAAGAAUUACAUUUUAAGCUAAUCGUAACUUUUUGUGCUAUAAUUAACAAGAAUUUUGUAGAAACGAAAAAUCAGAUUUGAUGUUUUAAUACAAACGAGCUACAGAAUGUCCAAGAUGCGUCUGUAAAAUAGAUAAACAUCAUGAUUCAAUAGAAUCAAAAUUCUUAUCAAUGAUUUCUCGUUACUUCAAAAUUCAUCACACGCUGAGCGGAAAUCUGGACCACCUCACAGCCUACCUACGGUUAUUUUGACAUCGCCAUCUUGCCUAUUUACAGAGGGGUUCUCUAACAUCUCGAUCUCGACAGCCAGUCGCGACUCCCGUUUCUCCCGUGCACACGCACGUAGCGUGUGAAUGAACGGCGCGCGUGUGUGUACGUGCACAUGGGGUGGCGUGUCAAUAGAUUUCGGUGGCGGUGCGUUACAUUAUUUUCAUCGCUUUAUAUCGAGGGGAGGUAGAUACGUAGUUCGGAGCAUGCAGACGCCGAUGUCUGCGUCGAAGGAGAGGGAAGACUGGUUUCGCUUCGAUAUACGGGACUCACCCUCGUGCCGAAAUCCGGGGGCGAGGCCGGUUUUCCAGCCUAUGGGGAUGCGUUACGAAUGUAAUGGUGGUCGAUCUGCGGUCUUUACCAAACACGCUGCGAUCACGACGCAGUCGUUGCACACCAGUUACAUCGAGAAGAUUUACUCGAGCGAUUAUUGUUCCGCGAUGGAGAACACGCAUCGAUUCGAAUUGCAGUUUACGUGUUUAAGUAUUUUUUCAUAUUCCACUUCUUGCCAUAUACGCUAUUAUAAUGUAUUCCAAUUAUUGUCAAAUCACAGAACAUAACUCUGUCAUUAAUAUUGAUAUCUUUUAUAGAAAUGACCCAUUUCUGGGUUUUCUGACACAAAUCUUUCAUAUUUCCACUUCACCCUUCAAAUAGAAAGAGAUUAUAUUAAGUUCUUUUUACAACAUAUCAUUUCUCUGCCAAUAUGACAUGUAUAUAUUAUAGAAUAUACAAUAUCUGUUUACAGCUUUCCGACUCAACCCAAACAUCGAUAUUGGAUACUUGAGUUUCAAUCAAUAAUUAGAUAUUUUAUUUCAGAGCCUGCAUCUACACGAUCUUGCAUGAUAAGGAAAAGACUUCAUUCGCCGUUCAAGAGGUGCAUUUUAUUCGCUCGGUGCAACGUCAGCGACAGCGAUUAAUCACGAGCUUUUGCAGCAGCGAUUAAGCUUUUCUCGAGCUUUUCGCUUAACUUCUCUGACUCAUCAAGCUCAUGAUCGAGUUGAUGAUUCGUGGCGGAAGUCGCGUCGAUUUCCUCGACCGCGAACGAGGAGACAAUGACUAGAAGCGCCGUUGUCGUCAUCGACGACGGCAGUGGAGGGAGCAGGAGACGCAAGAGGGAUGUUGACGUGGCACUUUGAUUGCGGCUAAUUUCGAGCAAGAUUCAAGGAUAGACAGCCGACUUGUAGCUCCCUUCAGGCACACGCGCGAGUGACAUUGGUAUUUACUAUUCUCGAGAUUGAAAUCUCUACAAAACUUCAUGAGCUGCAAUAUAACGCGAGUAAUUUCGCUAAUUACAAGAGUACAAUUUUCGGUCCCGACUGGAUGCCAUAUCAGUGCUCACAAUUGCAAAAUUGUUAGCGUUUGAUAAAGAUUGACAGGGUAGAAGAUGGAAAUGUGUAAAUCACCGAUCGGCGACUGAUCCUGAUCCUGACUGAUUGAUGUCUUUGUUACGCGCGAAGUUCAUAAACGAUUCGAAUCAAGCUUUGAGCGCGUGGGCCACUACCGCUGCCUUGGAAACCUUAUGAAGAUGCCGACAAACGGAUCCGACGCCAUUUGUGUCUCUCGUGCGGUUUAUUUUAUCAGUGGCAGCAGACAGCUGUGGAUUAAUUGAUUCAACGAUGAAAUGGAAAAUCGAAAAACAAAAGGCUUCCCAUCUGAAAUGAAUUUGCAGCAUCCACGGUCCCGCUCCCAUCCCUCCGCCCCCUUCUCGAUACAGGAAUGUGUGUACUCCGUUUAAUAAAUGUCAUCUGUAGCGAACCAUUUAAAUGUAACCAACGACUCGAUCAAAAAUUUUCUCGCCAAUGAAAGCCGAGACUGGUUCCCUCAGGCUGCACUUCCUGCUUAAACAGCCGACUCGUUUCAUGGACAGAAUAGACCAUGGAGGAACGAGAGAGAUGAAAGACGAAUUAAAGUAACAAUCAAGGCUCGUGUCUUUGUACUACGGUCUGGUCCCUUUCCUUCCCUCGUGUCCCUUGUAUAAAAUGAUCAUUUAAACUAGUAGAUCUGCUGCUUAAAUCUUACGGCCUUUAAGCACCAUCGUUGUCUCGUUCCUCGGAUUUACUGAUACUCGUAAUCUGGAAGUAUAUGAAAUCAGGUGUUAGAAAUUAAUUUCAAAAACGUAACAAAAAAAAUUUAGAUUUUCUAGAUAACCGAAACUAAGCAACUAAUCAAGGAUUCUAUAUCUGGAUCUUUAACACAUCGAGACAUUUUUAUUAAUUAGAAUACACAUUUUAAUAAAUAUCAAAAGAUGCAAGGCACGAUAGUCUACUAUGAUCCUUCAACAGAAAACAUUGAUUGUCCCGCUCAUAUUAUCUUGGACAUUGCGAGCGCGUGAUUACUAACGCGGAUGCUACAAAAAAGGAUACUAGACGAGGAAGAGAGAUGAAAAGAGAUCGAGAGCGAAGAGAGGGUGAAUUAAUACUACAGAUAAGAGAAAGAGAAUCGUGUCCUUUCUCUGUUUAUCGCUUAUCUGGUGCGCUUUGGUCUCCUCCCUCGCAAUAAGAGUGCGUGUGCGUAGCGUGUAUGCACGCCUCAUACUCGCGCACGCACUUUAUCAAAAGAAAGAAAGAAAGAGAGAGAGAGAGAGAGGAGCCACAAAACGAGUGGAGCCGACUGAAUGACUGAGUGACACUCGGCUGACGUCCUUUCCGGUGUGUCUCGUGUUACACCGAGCCCGUUAAGCGUUUGUAUUAAAGUUACGGCAUCGGGCGCGUGCCACCCACCAUAUAAUAUACGCAUACGAUUUUUUUGUCGCUCCUGCCAUCUCUUCUCUUUGCCGCCAGUUCAGAAUCGUCUACGCGAUCGUGAUGAUUCACGCUCAAAACAAUUUUAGCAUGAACAUCUAUGGACAAUAAGAAUUUAUAAUAUUAUAAAAUAUGUAAAAGUAAAUUUGACUUUUGUAGG